UGCGGAAGGAUCAUUACCGAGUGAGGGCCCUCUGGGUCCAACCUCCCACCCGUGUUUAUUUUACCUUGUUGCUUCGGCGGGCCCGCCUUAACUGGCCGCCGGGGGGCUCACGCCCCCGGGCCCGCGCCCGCCGAAGACACCCUCGAACUCUGUCUGAAGAUUGAAGUCUGAGUGAAAAUAUAAAUUAUUUAAAACUUUCAACAACGGAUCUCUUGGUUCCGGCAUCGAUGAAGAACGCAGCGAAAUGCGAUACGUAAUGUGAAUUGCAAAUUCAGUGAAUCAUCGAGUCUUUGAACGCACAUUGCGCCCCCUGGUAUUCCGGGGGGCAUGCCUGUCCGAGCGUCAUUGCUGCCCUCAAGCCCGGCUUGUGUGUUGGGCCCCGUCCUCCGAUUUCCGGGGGACGGGCCCGAAAGGCAGCGGCGGCACCGCGUCCGGUCCUCGAGCGUAUGGGGCUUUGUCACCCGCUCUGUAGGCCCGGCCGGCGCUUGCCGAUCAACCCAAAUUUUUAUCCAGGUUGACCUCGGAUCAGGUAGGGAUACCCGCUGAACUUAAGCAUAUCAAUAA
rnacentral:rRNA from 1 species